rnacentral:rRNA from 1 species
UACAGAGGGUGCGAGCGUUAAUCGGAUUUACUGGGCGUAAAGCGCGCGUAGGUUGUUAGUUAAGCGAGAUGUGAAAGCCCCGGGCUCAACCUGGGAAUUGCGUUUCGAACUGGCUAGCUAGAGUACGGUAGAGGGUGGUGGAAUUUCCGGUGUAGCGGUGAAAUGCGUAGAGAUCGGAAGGAACAUCAGUGGCGAAGGCGACCACCUGGACUGAUACUGACACUGAGGUGCGAAAGCGUGGGGAGCAAACAGG